CACCUAAACCUCUAAGGCAUGGUGAAAAAGUCCGAGUAAGUGAACGGAAGCUCUCCGUUUAGCAACUUACUCGGUCAUAUGGGGAAACUUAUAUGGGUAAUCUGCAAUGGUUACC
rfam:Candidate division TM6 bacterium GW2011_GWF2_33_332 TR43_C0017, whole genome shotgun sequence.